ensembl:snRNA U5 U5 spliceosomal RNA
AUACUCCGGUUUCUCUUCAAAUCGUAUAAAUCUUUCGCCUUUUACUAAAGAUUUCCGUGGAGAGAAACAAAUACGAGUGUUGUCGAAAUUUUUUAAGGCUCCAUUUUGGUGGAGCU